CGUCCGUUGCGUACGCCUGCGACCGCACCUGGUGGGAUCAGUGACAUAGUGACAAAGAAGACAGGAAGGACCAUUACCCACACACAGAGUGCAAACUUGUUUUUAGGGAAGGACCCAUUCCAUCAACCCGAAGGAGAAGCCGAACGCAGAAACUGACUGUGUGCCGAGUAGUGUUUUGCCCACACGUGACCGUUUGCUGGUACAUAUCUGAUAUUUGGUGUUUGCUUUGUGGUCGUCUUGAGAGGCUGAGUAAGGCUUCGAAAGGGGGUGGGAGUGGUUCGAAGCGAGAGGACGAGAGGCCAGUGCGAGAGAAGUCGAUAGCAGGACAUUCUCGUUGGCACUGCGGUGGAGUGAGGCGUGUAAAAUUGCCGGGUGGGUGCACAUAGAUAAGGGCAGUGAUAGUGAUAGUGACCCACUGUUGGGUGAUUUGUGUUGGCAGAGGAAAAGCUGCCGAAGGAAAAUUAUAGAUUUUCCCACAGUCAGUGCGGUGCGCGCGGUGUAAGAAAACUUUUCCUGUCUGAGGUUUCUAGACUUCACGCGUAGCUCGGAGUGGAAGGAGUGCGACGAUGUGUGAGCGGGGGGAGGUGAAAACCAAAUAAUUGCACUAAUCAUUUACAGUGUUGGUUGAUGGAGAGAAAGUUCCGAAGAAAGUCAAUAAAAGUAGAGUGAAAUGACCUACUGAAAUUAUUGAAGAGAAGCUUGUUCUCAGUGUCCCAUCUGCUGCUAAGUGAAGUAAUAAUUGCACAGUGGAUGGAAGCGAAAGUGAAAACUCUUGGUGGUGAGCCGUAAAUGGACGUGGCAUCCGCCUGAGGCCGGGUGGUGGCCAAGGAACCAAGUUAUUGCGUCGGUGAAGGUCGACAAUCAACGGCAUUUGAACUGCCCUCCCCCGACUUGAUUAGUGGGAGGGCCGACUGCUGGCGGCAGAAGAGAGCCUUCGGCGAACAUCAAUUGGAUUCGACAGAGGGAAAGUUUACACGAGUUAAACAACUGGCGGCAGGCUGUCAAGCGGCAGCGGCGAGAGAGCGGUGGUCGUCGUCAAUCUCGGCAGAAGCGCAAAUUGCAAUUGCCAUCGACACCCAUCCACCCCCACCCCCACCCACACGGGGCGCACAUGUUCGUUCGUUCGUUCGCCGCCGUUAAAUCUUCCGAGGUAAUGCACUUUCACCGCCGGUGACUUCCAAUCCAAUGGGGCCGUAACUCCGCCGCUAAUGAGGUUUGCUCGGUGGCCCGGAAAGAAGAACAAAAACCGAAAACUUCACGGAUGUUGACAACGCGCAUCGCACCAUGCGCGACUCGGGGUGCUGUGUUAAGUGAGGCUGCAAAAAGUGCUCUCGUUCCGGUUCCGCCCGGGAGGGAAGUUUUGUGAGCGGGAAAAAUCGAUACUAAGCGAAUUCAGCUCGAUCCCCCUUCUCCACCCUGCCGGAGGGGAUAAUAUGGAUAUCAGAAAUAAUUACGAGAAAGUGUGAAAAACGUGUCGAAUGCUUACUCGGGUAAAAAAGUUAGAUUCCAUCGUUAAAAUUUGAGCAGAAGUUACGUCGGCGUCUUCGUCGUUGCCGAUUUACUCUAAGCGAAAAGUGUGCAUUGUUUCUUCGGAGGGCCCAGAAAACGGAUUGUGGAAAGUUUUCGGCAAAAGGUAACAAGAAACAAUUUGAAGAAGAAAACUUUUCUUCGCGAGUCAGUUGUUUGCUGUGUUCUCCAUUUCGGGGGGUGGUGAGUGGAGAGUGAAGGUGACGUUUUUGUGUUGGAAUCAAAAGUCAUCCAUCGAUUUUUUGUGCUGUGUUUUUACGAUUUAACAGUGGAUGAACGAAGCAGCCAGUGUCAUCCGAAUAUAAGAGAUCAUGCUUCCGAUUCGAGGCCGCAGUCGUACAAGGAUAAGCAAUACGGGCAGAAACCGCAAAGUUCCUCGACUUCAUCGCUCCCAGAAUGUUAAUCAGGCCGGCAGGGAAAGAUGUUGUUGUUAUUCCUGCCCCGUUCGUGUCGGCGCCCCAUCAUCCGUCAGCCCCUGUGCCCAGGAGACGUGAGCUCGUGGUCCAUAAUUGCGAAGUGUGACCCUGCAGCAGUAGCAGUAGUAGCUGAAAUAGCAGCGGUAGAUGGCUCAGUGCGGAUGCUACGCCAUGAAAUGCGGUGAUGUCCGUCCCAACCGUGACAGGAGGACAGAACAAAUCAAUCACACCACAGCAGCAUCAGCCACAGCUCCAGCAGAAGCUCUCAAGUGAAUUCAAUUUCCCAAAAAGGCGAAAGACAAGCAAAAGAAUCUCGGUCGGCGUCAGCGGAGGCCUCGAAGCAACGAAAACCAAUCCGACCUCCCAGGAUGAUUAAUCACUUGGCGGCGCCGAGAUCUGGUUGACGGUGAAUAACUCUGAUUCUCUGCGCUUCCACUCGCGGAAGGCGGGAAAGAAGGUUAGGAGAUCCUGGGGUUCGGGUUAACCGUGUGAAACGAAAGACGUAAAAAGUGUGUCAUAAAAAUCUAAUCAACAAAAGCUCUCUCGAGAGAGAGGGUCAGCUAAACGAAAAGAUCACGUUCAACAGUCGGUAUAAUUCGAAGACGACAAAUAACACUUCCCCCACUCCAAACAGCGCCGCCAAAUACGUGUUCAAAUUCGGAACGCUGCUGGCGAAUAGCCGUCACCAUUUCAUUUCGAAACUGUAUGCCGCUGAAGCGAAAUCACGAAAGGACACUCGGAAGCGACGCUUGUGAGGCACCAUAACAAACAAGGGCGGGAACCCAGUUGUCAUUCACAUAAACCUCACACAAUCACACAAACAAGAACGACACAUCCAGCUGUAAGGCAACCAGAGCGGAAGAAGCCUAACGUUUUUUCCCUCGCAGGAAAUGAAUCUUAUGAACAUGGACUCGGAGAACCGAGUGGUUCUCAACGUUGGCGGCAUCCGUCACGAAACGUACAAGGCAACACUGAAGAAAAUCCCCGCGACGCGACUGUCCCGGCUAACGGAAGCCCUCGGAAAUUACGACCCGGUGCUGAACGAGUACUUUUUCGACAGGCACCCGGGGGUAUUUGCACAGGUGCUCAACUACUACCGGACUGGAAAGUUACAUUACCCGACGGACGUUUGCGGACCACUGUUCGAGGAGGAGUUGUCCUUCUGGGGUUUAGACUCAAACCAAGUAGAACCGUGUUGCUGGAUGACGUACACACAGCACCGGAACACGCAAGAAACAUUGGCUGUUUUAGAUAGGCUAGAUUUAGAUACGGAAAAGCCUACCGACGAAGAGGUGGCGAAAAAGUUCGGUUUCGAAGACGCUUACAAUAAGGGCAAGGUGAGCUGGUGGCAGCAUCUGAAGCCCCAGAUCUGGUCACUGUUCGACGAGCCGUACAGCUCCAACGCCGCUAAGAUAAUCGGCAUCAUAUCAGUUUUCUUCAUCUGUGUAUCGAUCAUAUCAUUCUGUCUGAAGACACACCCGGACAUGCGAGUGCCAUACAUCCGGAACAUCACAGUUAAGACGGCCAGUCAGAACACAUCCUGGGUGUUGGACAAGACGCAAACUAAUGCUCACGUUGCGUUCUUCUACAUCGAGUGUGUGUGCAAUGCUUGGUUCACUAUCGAAAUAAUGAUACGGUUCAUCUCGUCACCGAGCAAACUUAGAUUCAUCACGUCAUCUGUAAAUAUCAUCGACUACAUCGCCACGCUGAGUUUCUUCAUCGAUUUGAUACUGCAGCGUUUCGCGUCCCAUCUGGAGAAUGCCGACAUCUUGGAGUUCUUCUCGAUCAUCCGCAUCAUGAGAUUGUUCAAGCUGACGCGCCACUCGUCCGGGCUGAAGAUCCUCAUCCAAACGUUCCGAGCCUCGGCCAAAGAGUUGACGCUGCUGGUGUUUUUCUUAGUUUUAGGUAUCGUGAUAUUCGCCAGCCUGGUGUAUUACGCCGAGCGGAUACAAAUCAAUCCGCACAACGAUUUCAACAGCAUACCGCUGGGGUUGUGGUGGGCCCUGGUAACAAUGACCACCGUCGGGUACGGUGAUAUGACGCCAAAAACUUACAUCGGGAUGUUCGUGGGAGCGCUGUGUGCUCUGGCCGGUGUGCUGACGAUUGCCCUGCCGGUGCCCGUCAUCGUGAGCAACUUCACGAUGUACUACUCGCACACACAGGCCCGUGCCAAGCUGCCCAAGCGAAGACGUCGAGUCUGUCCGGUGGAGCUAUCGAGGCCGCCACGUUUGCCAGCAGGUCAAGCCGGGCCGGGAGCAUGUAUGAACACCGGUUCCGGAAAACUUCCGUCUUCCAACGCGCCCAGCACCGGAAGCAUGGAUCAAGCAAUCAGGCGCAUGAACGCCAAUCGCACCAUCUCCAAAGACGUGAUUCUGCCAAAGAUGGCAUGAUGGGGCGACAAACUUUAAGUAUCUACACUCGUAUACAUACAUUUCUUUGUGAGCGUGAGCAAAUGCUUUUUUAUUGUUGAUGCUGCUCUGUACCGCUGUUCCUCCACACCACCCCUUCCGCUAUAUUAUCGUUUAUGAUCUGCUCAGCCACCGCCGGUCCCAUCCUCCGGUCGAUGCGGGAUGUGUAAGGAUACCGCGUGCAAGGACGAAAAUAAUCCAGAUCUCAAUCAUCGUACCAACGCAGCGAAGGUAUCGCACUGUGUGUGUGGAAAAUCCUUUCGGAGAAUACUAAUGGAGCCUGAACGGCACGAACUGAUAACAACUCUGCCGCCAUCCAUCGCGGGUUCAAUCGGAGGUGGAAAUUCGAUCAACUCUCGCGCCACGACAACAAUCGAAGCCCGUGUACAAAGUAUAGCCCCUCUUUCUAUUUCGCAAGUUCAUGAAUUUAUUGAAAACACAUUCUCACAAUCAAAUUCGGCAGAAAGGUGUCUGCGCGUCUUGUCGAAAAAAUAAAUAAAUAACAGAAAUGCUGCCGGAACUGAUAGCGCGAAUUGUGAACGAGCGAAAGUCACAGUCACGUAUCGACUCAAUGCUCGCAAGAGCCGAGCCGUGCCACGUUAUUCAUCUUGACAGGUGUACCAGGUACCUGUAUAGAUUGCGCGUAAAGGUCACGACGCUGUCUGUAAGUGAGCCCGAAAUCCAAUAUACAAUCCCGAGCAGCCAAUCGACCGAACAUCGAGUGCAGAAACCAAGGACCCCGUGGGCAACGUUUGAGAGGAUCUGAUCACCGUGGCGCCUGCAGAGGACGACGGACCAUCCGCCAGCUCUGCUGCUGCCCCACAACCGACUGCCAUCGGUUCGGCCCUUCGUCGGACCUCAUUGGGUAAAAGCACCAAGGAGCGCAAACUGAAGAACAGUUAAUUCCGGGAACAGCUCACGAUGAACCAAGCGGGCGCCAGCUUCAAAUGUAUUUUCCUUUUAAUCGUAAAUAUUCUAAAUAAUUGUUGGACAUUUUUACCGUUUCGCCGUCGCACAUUUUCCUUUGAUUUUCCUUCGAGUGUUAUCCUGGUGGUUCGAGAACCCCCGCAACUAUGUGUCGAUUGGUGGGAGGAAUAUGCUUUACAACGCGUAGCGUAAACGAAACGAAAAAGCACCACCCUUUGAGUGUUAUCGAUGUUGACCAAUUGGAAAGAAAGAGAUUAUUUGUUUUCCACAUCAACAAGUAUUCCUCCACGCACGGUUACUACAGAUUUUAUACGUGAUGAAUCCUUUUACAUAAAUAUAAAACGCUUACUACUGAACAAAAAAGAGAGAUGUACAGCUAUUGAGUCUAACCUAAGGUAAGGUCAUGAAAAUAGUGCACUGUAAAUAAUCGAGAUAUUCAAUAUCAACGUGAAAACAAAACAAAAAGUACAUAAAAUAAACAAUUGUAUAUUUUGAAACGAGGCAAAACGAAAAGUGAUAUAAAAUUAUUUUAAAACGACAAAUUGAGGCUCUCGCCAUAAUUGCAGUUCCAAAAAUUGGAUUGGCAUGAGCAUUGAUUUAAUGAAAUUCUCUUGGUUACUAGAGCCACUCGCAUGGAUUCAGUGCUUGUCACGGGGACUAACUAUUUUCCUUUCGUGUAAAUAAAGUUACAAACUCGGACAGACCUUCCUUGUUGAAUCUUUUCCAUUUCCCAGGCUAUGAUUGCGCUAGACCCAAACCAAACACUAUAAAUUGCGAGAAGUUACAAGGAUUGUAAAUCGAGAACGGUUGCCUUCACUAAAGCGCUUUUUAGUUUUAAGCACAGAAUUCCACCAAAUCCGCAGAACCACAUUAGAGGAACUACCGCAAAAAUGAAAAAAAAAACCUACUCUUGUAACGAACAGAGGGAACACACUUCCGCAAGCACAAAAACUCACGCCCAAACACACACACACAUCCACUCAUAAAACCAACCAACAUGGGACCAACAAAGUACACUUUUUGCGAAUAUUUUCCAUCAUGAUUUAUCUAGUUUUUUUUUUCAUUCUUUCUCCCUCUCUCGUUGUGAUAUGUUCUCCUGCUGAGGUUGAAUCUACAUAUUAAUUGAAGAGUGGAAAAUCGAGAUUGCAAAAGUUUGGCUUUACUAUGGCAACUCAGCGGCUUGGCACGAUGGAAAAUCGUGUAUGGCAUGAAUUACCUCCCCCCCUCCUAAGGAGGCAGCACCUGAUGGUCGUCGCCUCUGUUUUCUCGAUACUGGAGGUUUAAAAAAUAGGCUCGCGGACGUCCGUUUUUCUGUGGAGGAGCAGGAGAAUGGUGAAAUUUUGAAUAUUACUAGUUGAUCGGAAAAAAAAAACUGGUGGCCGGCCAGUGUUCUGACUGCGUCUUCCAUUUCUAUACUGGGGAGUAAGUUCAAAGUUUCGAAAACGGAAGCGUUACGUCGGAGAACGAGAUUUUGAGCGUUAAUAGCUCCUGAAGAACUGAACGGAAUGUUAUAAUAAACACUUCAUUCGAAAGAUAAAAUGUCUACGCGUUAUAUGCUUGUUACUUUUUGAUCCAUGAACUUGUUUCAAUAGCCUUAAAAUUGUUUUCAAAACAGGCUAUUGAAAUCACACCAGUCGGUAUAAAAGCGAGUGUCGGAAGUCCACUCAGUUAUGAUUGCGUAACGAUUGAGGUACCAUCGCUGAAAUGAACUGUCUGACUGUUUCCCUGACACAAACUUCAAAACCAUGGUGCCAUGGGAAAAUCGGCAUUGCAAAACAGAUGCAAUCUGCGGGUACUUUUGUACUCGUUUGCGUUUUUGCAAACCGGAAUGUUUCCCUAACACACACUUUAAACCAUGAAGCCUGGGGAAAUCGGCAUUGCAGAUACAUGAAAGUCGGCAGUACUUUUAUACCCAUAUACAUUUUUACACUCCGGAAAUCGUUUUGCCAAUACGGCCAACAAAAGCGGGUACAAAUGCAACGCUUUGGCUCUGUUCUUCAAGACUGCAUUAGAAAAUAUCCGUUAAUGUCGCCAGCUCAUUGAACUUCUACGCAUACUGUUUGAUGAUUAGGCAAAAUGAUGAUAGCUUUUUGCUGUGAUAACUACACCCAAACUAGCGUUGGCAGGAUACAUGUCAUCUUUGGCAAAAAGAUAGCAUUUCCUGUUCAUGAGAGUCAAAUGCGCAAAUAAUGAGCUAUUUUGAAAGCUUAAAAAUGGUUUGUAUGUAUGCGUGCAGACAUCUCUUUCUGUAUUCUUUUCUCUUUUCAUUUGGGAUUGUGCAAAAAAAAAAGUUCAAUGGGGAUCGAACCAAGGCCGGCUGGAAUCCAAAGUUACUUUACACGACCACGCUAUCCAUUUAGCUGCCAGCGCUAUUAUAAUGGAGCGUGAUAAUAUUACACCUCAUCAUAAAAUUAAGUUGGAAAGUGUUUUCUAAGACGAUAAAGAAGAAUAUGAACGAGAAUAGAUCUUUCUCAGUCUGGGCCGUGUAUUUGGCAAACUAUACGAAAAGCUUUCAUAUGCUUUCAUUUAAAUGUGUCUCCUGUUUCGCUCCCUCAUAUUGGCUCUAGCAUAUAUAUUAUACAAAUGAUAUACAUGUAUUGGGGAGUAGAACAUUUUAUGUUAUCUUUCAGCUCAUUUAAUGUAACAAAUCGGGAUGCCAGAACAUGUGCUAAAAAUAAACUUUGGGUGUACUACUAUAACGCAUGAAUUGACCUAAAUUGGGAUUUGUUUGCAAUUGAAUUCGUAAAUUGUUUCAUUCAUUCAAUGGCUUAAUCAAUAACUUAAUCAAUACACACAAAAGAUGGCUCUGCACAGCGGCGAUAUUGUACCCAAUGAGGAACAUCCGAGGUGCGAUUGUUGCUAAUGGCAGAAAAACAAAUUAUUAUUAAGCCAACGUUAACCUUGCGGUUAUAUCAUAGGCAUAACCCAUCCAUAGUUUUUUUCUCCAUUAUAGUAGCUUUCAACACUUUUGGCUGGUUCGUCACUUUUACUUCCAUUUUUGGAACAAUGUCGGGGAGAUAGAGUUGAACUCGUGAGCUUUGCGUGAGAGGUAUGGAUGUUACCACUACGCCAGAUCGCCUCCACUAAAUCAAGAACAGAAUGUGUGUAUUUUUUUCCAAAACCGUCUGAUUAAUAGACUUAAUUACUUAUUAUCUAACGUUUACAGACCUUAAAUAUAACUUAUUUUCUAUAUAAUUAAGACUAACAAUUUAAUAAUAACUAAAUAUUUGAUUGGACAGGAUUAGGAUUUAGGACUAGACCGGAGCGAGUGGGGUAGUUUGAUUUGAUGAGGAGAGAAGGAAUCAAACAGUAUAAUUUUUUUUUUUUUGAGAAAUUGAUAAAGAGAAAGCAUAAGGUUGAGGUCGCGACUAACCAAGAUGUAUCUAACCGGUAAGUCAGAUUGUCUUCCUUGUGCCCUGCGUGAAUCCGAUAGGUGAGCACUGGCAGAAUGAAGGUUUAUACAAGACCAGACCACAUGCUCGACGUCAUGAUAACCAUCACCACAAACGCAAAUAUUACUAUCGACGAUCCCAAUGCGAUACAGAUGUGCAUCUAACAAGAAAUGAUUGGACAUAAGGUGAGACAUCACGCGAAUAAAGUCCCGACCUACAUUGAAUCCAUUGAACCAUGCAUUUGUCGAUACCUUGGGAAUAAUCGUAUGUAACCAGCGACCCAUAUUAUCUUCACUCCAAUUGUGUUGCCAACUACGAGGAGUGUAAAAAAUAUCAUGAUAGGUUAUUUGUCGUUCAAAAAUGGUGCCUUCCAAGGCCCCGAGCUUAGCUAACGAAUCCGCUUUCUCGUUACCUGGAAUGGAGCAAUAGGCCGGGACCCAGGCUAAUGUAAUCCUAGAAAAUUUUUCCAUCAGUCUAGCCAAGAGCUGUCUUAUUUUCAUAAGAAAAUAACAUGAGGCUCUUACAGGACGGAUAGCUUCAAUUGAGUUGAGGCUAUUUGAAUAGAUAAAAUAGUGAUCAAUCGACAAGGAUUCAAUUUUCUCCAAAGCGUGAUAGAUUGCAGCCAUGUCCGCAACGUAUACCGAGCAUGGAUUUCUCAAUCUAUAAUGGGCACUAAAAUUUUCAUCAAAUAUGCCAAAACCAGUGGAGCCAUUAGUGUAAGAUCCAUCAGUAGAAAAAACAUUCUAUUAGAACUUACUUCGCAAAAUUUCGACGAAAACAUCCGUGUGAUUACUACAAAACGUGUAUGUUCUGGAAUAUCACGUAUUUCUUGAUGCAUGGUUAAAUUUAAUUGUACAGUGGAAUUACAGAAGUACAAUAGACAGUCUUAUGAUGCUGGCGAAGGUUGCAAUCCUUAUGAACGAAACCCAACAUAUAAGGUGGUGAACCUUGAUUCUGGAUUCAAUUGAAGAAGUUCUUUGAAAUUAUCAAUUACCAACGGAUUCAUAAUCUUACAGCGAAUGAGAUAUCUGUAUGAUAAUUCUAUGAAUCGAAGAGUCGGAGGAAGUACUCCAGCCAGAGCCUCAAGACUCCUCGCAUGAGUCGAUUGCAUGCAACCCAAAGCAAUACGCAAGCAACGAUAUUGUAUUCGCUCCAUCUUAAGAAUAUGAGUCUUAGCUGCCGUUCGGAAGCAAACACUACCGUACUCGUGACCGAUAAUAUCGUUGUUUUGUAUAAACUUAUGAGGUCUCCUGGAUGGGCAUCCCACCAUGUUCCAGUUAUUGUCUUGAGGAAGUUGAUUCUCUGUAGACAUUUUUGUUUAAGAGAUGCAAUAUGUCUCCCCAGGUAUAUCUAGGAUCGAAAUAGAUACCAAGAUAUUUGAAAUUCAUAGAGUGGGUUAUUGUUUUGCCGAAUAAAUGAAGCGGAAAUUUUGCGGGUUUGUACUUUUUAGAACAAAAAACACCGCUGUUUUCUCCGUAGAGAAUUCGAUACCCUGCUUGAUGCCCAUGUGGACAAAUUGUCCAAAGUAUCCUGUAAUGGUCUUUGCAGAUCGGCGGAGGAGGAUCCCCUAAUGGGGAUCGUCGUAGCGUGCAAUGUCCCGAAAGGCAAUUGUCGAUAUCAUUAACAUAAAAGUUGUAUAAUAGGGGGCUCAAACAUGAACCUUGUGAUAGGCCCAUAUAGCUUAGUCGGGAGACUGUCAAACUUCCAUGAGCAAAACUCAUGUGUUUUUCUGACAGCAAAUUAUACAAAUAAUAAUUUAAAGUUGGCGAGAGUCCAUAAUUAUGAAGUUCAACUGAUAAUAUAUCAAUAGAAACAGAAUCAAAAGCCCAUUUGAUAUCAAGGAAUAUCGAAGCCAUUUGUUCUUUACGAGCAAACGAUAUUUAUAUAGACGAAAGCAACGGUAGACAAUCAUUCGUUCCUUUACUUCUUCUGAACCCAAACUGUGUAUCUGAAAGCAAAUUGUUGGUUUCAACCUAAACGAAACGAAACGAAACGUCUAAACGAAAAAGAAUCAUUUUCUCCAGAAAUUUACGAAUGCAGGAUAGCAUUGAGAUUGGCCUAUACGAAUUGUGGUCACAGGCCGGCUUGUUAGGUUUUCGUGUGGCUAUAACUCUAACUUGUCUCCAGUCGCGCGGAACAAUGUUCAGCUCUAGGAAUUUGUUGAACAAGUUCAGCAUACGUCUUUUGACAGAAUCGGGAAGACUCUUCAAGAUAUUGAAUUUUAUCUUAUCCACUCCAGGAGCCGAGUUUUUUUUUAUCCCAUUUAUUUAUUUAAGGCUCAUUAGCAUUUUAGCUGUAACAGAGUCGAAUUUUAAUCGUGUACAUGUUACAUGGUUAUCAUAUAUCUAUAAUUAGCACAUUACACAGUUGCCAUUCGCCAGUAUUCCUUCUAUACCAUUACAUAUGGUACAUUCACACAGUAGCCAUUUAGGCGUAAGAGUAUUCUUUCUGUUCUUCCAUUAUCCAGUUGGACCACCGGACAGCGGAGACAGUUGAUUGAUCAUUGUUGAGUUAUUUAUAGAACAGCAGUCCGAUGUGUCUUGCAGAGCAGAGCAGUUGUAUGGAUGAAUCGAUCUUAUUUCGACCGUGGAUCGAUCUCCAUCGCUGAUGAUUGUUACGUGGACGUAGUUAUUCUGUAACAACACAAAGAUGGUCAAAUGAGGGCCCUGAGUUUUGAACUCACGAUCGAUCGCUUACUAAGCCAACGCGCAACCAAUGUGGCUACGGAGACCCCCUGGAGCCGAGUUGUUACACGAAAGAAUUUUUAUUUGCCCAAAUGAAAACUCUACCAUUGAAAAUUUUUAUGUACGCUUUGAAGCGGAAUGUCUUCUACGAUAUUUUGUCCUGGAACGGAAUCUGGGCAAAACUGUAGAUCCAACGAUCAGAGUACUCCUAACUUUCGUUAUUGUGGCUCCGACCCCGGAUUCUUUCCUAUAUUCUGGUUAGAAAAGUGUCCUAUCAUUUAUAAAGUGACGCUUCAUCCGUAAAAAUUUUAAUUAUGCGUCUGUCGUUAUAAAGUUACUGCACAUGUUCGUCUAUAAUAUUUCACAUCACAAGUGGUGAGGAGAAGAAACACUGUUGGCGCGUUUGUGUACAUAUUUUCAUUCGCAUUCGCACUGUCGUAAUUUCAUGCACAACUACAUUUUUCUAAGAUAAUUUAGCUUAACACCAGAUCUACCGUUGUAUAAUUUGCUCCCAAAAUUUUGUCUUGAAAUGUUGUUAAAUACUAGCUGACCCGGCAAACGUUGUUCUGCCAUAUAAAUUAUUUCUAGUGAAUAUUUUGGUUGUGAAAUAAAGAAAUCGUUUUUGAAUGUUUUAACGAUCUGUAAAAUUAAUCGAAUGUGAUCAAUAAAAUAGAACGAAUGAAACGAUUUGAGCGAAAGUGUAUUUGAUGUUUAUGCUGCCAGAAAUGACGGUGCGCAUUGUCAUUCGAUAAACAAACAUGAAACACUCGUGACUCAUCUAUUCUAUCCUUUUGCAUUUUGCAGCGCUAUAUCGUUGCGGAGCAAUUCAGAAAUAUCAGUGCAAACAAGCAUUUCAUAGCGUGUCUUCCCGAGUAUGGUUACGACCCGUUCUUUCAAAAAGAUCACGCGAAUAUCUGGGAAUGGGAUCUGUCACAUACUGAGGAAUGGAGUGCUAUAGACGAUGACCGCCGACGAAAAUAAAAAAAAAUUCAUUGUAUUAAUUCAUAUAUGUAAAGGGUGAAAUGCUAAAGAUAUGUAAGGAAUUGUUACUCGAUUGUAUUUGAAUACUUAAAAAGCGUAGUCUUAACUUAACUAUUUUUCUAAACAACCUCGCAUUUCCGUCAAAACUUUAUUCAUGAUGUAAAAUCAUUAUCAGACACAACUUACGUUCAAGAUUUUUUCUCCAAUUGCAGAUAAUGUGUUACUCUGUUACAUAGAACACAUAUUUGAUACGGGAGCGCGUGUUUGUUACACCCGAAAAUCUACUAUCAUUUUCGCUUCAAAGAAAUGGAACACGAAGCUCAAUGUCGUUUUGACGAAUUGUGUGGCAAAAUUACUGGAAUUCCCGAUGGAAUUAUACUAUUGCUUUCCUCUGGGCGUAUUUUGUCAACUAAUCAAACUAGAAAUGGGUGUAUGAGGCUAUCCUCGCUUUCAUCUUUCAGCCGAAUACAUCCGAAUACGUGUAAUGUUGUAAUAAAACUCAUCAAAGACAUCAUUUUUUGUCUGAACACACGUGCUGUUAUGUCAUGAAAAUGUAUUUCGUUUUAGCCUGGCAAAGGCUGUGUCGACGUUGCUGAUGAUAGCGUCUGGUAAGAGAAUGAACGCUUCGUAUGAAUCGCAGCCGCUCGUUCUCUACUUUCGAUUAAACGUCGAUAAAGAACUGUUGCGACAGCCCACAGUCGUUAUUCAAUACACAUGAAAACCCAUCGAACUAUCGCCACUCUCUUGUUUGUUUCGCCUCUUCUAAUCGCAUGUUCCUAAGUAUUGAUUCAAAAUGAGAAUUGACAUUCAUAAUGAAUGAAGUAAUUGUGGCAAGAUCUCGUUGUUUGAUGUUUAUGCAAUAUCCGUCUUGUCUGUUCCGAACGGCCGGGGAAGUUUUCGUCAAAAAUUUAUAUUUCCGGAUUACAUCUCCUUUCGAAUCACAAUUUUUCGCGUCGUCGAAUACCAUGAUUCCAGUAACGUCUUCAACAGCAUGCGUAGAGGUGUCUAAAUUUUUCGUUUAUUCGAUUAUCGAUUAAUAUUCGAUUCGUUCGAAUAGUUGUCUUUCAGUAUUCGAUUAAUCGAGCGAAUAGUUAUUUCUUGUUCAGGCAAACCUGUUUUUGUUCGAUCGCAUUUUGCGCAAUUCCUCAUUUGUGUGACUGAUUUCGUGCAAUUUUCGAAUACUAUCAUUUUAAUACGGGAUCUUAGACUAUCUCCUUCAAUUCCGCCUUUUACUCCUGCGGUUCUUCAACCGUGAAUGGUUUAGCAUAUUCGAUGAAUUUCGACAAAACACCAUGACGGUUUAACAAAUUUUGCACUGUAUUUUUUUUAUAAAAUGGUUCCCUUUUUCAUAAAUCGCGAUUACUGUGAUAAUUAUUCGAUGUAUUCAUAUUUGGUUUUUCAUAAUUCGAUACAAAAUUACCCGAUUAAAAUUGAAGAUAUUCGUUAUUUGAAUCAAUCGAACGAUUAACCGACGUCUCUAAGCAUGCGCAUUCGAUCCAUAGCGUGAUAAUCGUUUUGCAAUCCGAGCAUGUGUGAUUUGAAGAAUUUUCAAUAACUCAUUGUCAAAAAGGCCUCCAGCUCGCCGUCAAUGCACCUGGCUUUAGGCGAAUUGAAGAUGGAAUGUGUGGAUGAUGGUUUGAAGAAGCAGAUGCAGCGCCAUCUGUCAUUUAACAACGUAUAGAAAUUCGUUAUGAUUGAAAAACAAACGACGAUUGAACUAAAUGAAUAUUUUUCAUACAUAAAUACUGAAAUCGCAAUUAAAAAUAGGAGAUCGUGGUGAAAAUUUCGGGUUAUUUGUAUUUCUGAAGCCAAAUUAAAUAAAAAAAAUGAUUCAGAAUUUUUUGUUCUGCAUAGAACCACCCUAAUCGGAAUUAAAUGUAAAGUAAUCGGUAUCCUAGGUGUAUCAAAUAAAUUGUACGACUCAUGUCUAUCGAGCUUUUUGUGCAUAAUUUCACAGAAAUCUGUCGAGCCGUUUCGAAGGAGUUCGACCACGAACAUCGUGACACGAGUUUUUAUCUACAUAUAGAUUUUGUAAUUGUUAUGACUUUUUCUCAAUAAAGUUUAUUUUCUUUGAAAUUUUUAUAUUUUGAGAACUAAAUAUCACACUGGUCAAAAUCAUCGGUUUGCUGAAAAUAGGUAUAUAAAAACUGUUGGUACCACUAGUAGGAAUGACGUAAUAAAGUAGCAUUUAUAGCGAGAUCUUUAUUUUCAAUGAUUUAGGGUGAAGUUAGCGAACCAAAAGCCCAUCAAUCGAUGACAAUUGGUCACAAACGAUUCCCCAUCUCUUUUCGAGAACUUUUGAUUUUGUAUUUGUAUAUAUUCCACCACACAGACUAUCCUAUCGAGAUCCACUCCACUAGGUUAUGGGGUAUUUCCCCAACAAUAAAUCUUGAACCGUCAUCAAACCCCUCGGUCCCAAUCUCAAUUAUUGGCAUCCACAUCGGUUCAUCCGUUCCGAUGUAUACGUCGAAAACCAACGGUUGGCGGACCACAGAGCACAUUUAAUGUUUCAGAAAACUUCUCCACGAACUCCAAGAACUAACGCAACAAUGUAUAUUGCCAAAAAAAGCAGAAAAGUUGACCGACCACACGAUCCCAAAACUGUUUGACAACAAUAUUUCACGCCAGCUCUAUAACUCUUCCUAUAACACAAAACACACAUCUGUUCACACGCCAUGGCAAUGCCCACGGCUUGGAAGCAGAUUGAUCUAAUCCACCCACCCUAUCAGCAUCUCUCAGGACUUCGCUAAAUGUUAGCGCAAUCCUCUCCGCUCCGACACAGGGGGGUUUGGUUUGGAAAAUUCAGCAUCAAUAGGGAAAGUUGUUCUUGUCAGUUCCAUGAGCUUCUAUUGCUCCGCUGGUGGCUGCACGAAGCGACCACCUUAGCGAAAGAGUCACCUCAAUCGUAAUCAAAUUGUCACGCCAGCAACGCCAGCUGGGUAAGCCAUCCUUACCACAACAGGCGGCGCACUUCGAACUCAAUCCGUCGCACAACAUCGAUCCCAGCAGCUGGAAAACAUGAUCGCAUUUUCUUCUUUCGCUCAAAACACGUUCUGUAUUUACGUUUCUUUUUGUUUGUGUGAGUUAUUUUUUUUUCUUGUUAUAAAUUUCCCGCCAUCAAUCGGAUUCAUUCUGCAUCAUGUUUGUUUCCCUCUUCUUUCAUUCCCCUUCCAUUUCCUCGCUUUCGUGGAUUUUUUAAACCUCUUCAUUAGCGCAAUCAAUGGGCCGGGAAAUUAAUACAAACAGUACUGUAAAAAGGCACAUCCUGCAAAAAAAAAUAAUGCAAGCAUUUAAUGGCCCUUGGGCCAUAAAAGCAAGAAACGGAAAAAGAAACUUGGCACAAUGAAAUAAAAUCGAAAGAGCCAAUGGCUUUGGUCGGGGGAAAGUAAGGCUGUUCGAAGCGUGCUCUCAUUUCUUCUCAUAGAAAUCUCACGAACUGACGCGUAGGAACAGUGAAAAAUAAACUGAAACAACAAACAAAAACAAAAAAUGCCAAAAACAUAACCUGUCGACGGUCGAUUUACCAGCGGGGGAACAGGUGUCCUGCAAUUUCGUUGCCGAACGGAACAUUAAGAAACAACGUGAAAUGACAUGCGUUAAUGCAAAGCCGUUUUUUCUGUACCACCCACCAGAGCCCCGUUUACCGACUCGACGAUGUGCGAAACGAUGAUUUAGAGUAACGAUUAUGAUACAUGAAGACACACUUUUCUCCCGCGGGUUCCCGCUUUCUAUGUAAGGCGGGGGUAACGGUUGAGAUUUGAGAUGGGAUGCGGUUGUCUUACCGGAUUGGAAGGGAUUGUUUUGUUUCGUUUAGAAGGUAAUGCUGUCCCGAAGCUGGUGAGCACUCACGGGGAAAUGAUCGCUAACACGAGGAUGAUUCCACUGAUUUGUCGGUGUUCCGUUAACAAAAUGGGCGAGAGUUGAUGUGAAUACUGGAAUGAGGGUCUAUACUGGAACGCCGCUCUGGGAAUCAGUAAUCUGUGGCAGUGAGGUUUAUCAUUAUUUAUUUUUAAAACUACGGCAUCAACUUUUGUUUCAACACCGUCAACGCUUAAAAGCGUCAAAACGUAAACUGGGCGAUGAACAGGCAAUAGGGCGAGAUAGGCAAUUUGAGAUGUUUUGUUCAAUGUAGAGAAAUACUCAGUUUUGAAAAUAAAUAUAGUUUUUUUGAAAUCAUAGAAUUACAAGUUCGAGUGACGAGAAACUAUAAGCAAGUAGUGACAAGACUUCUUCCUCCAACGGAUGACUACAAUUAUACAGGGUGGGCCAUUUAAAGUGGAAGCAUCUGGCAACCCCAUAACUUUUGACAGAGAUGUCAGAUUAAUAAAUUUCAUACCGCGUUGGAAGCGUCAUUUCAGUACAAUUUUAACCAUGGAACAAUACACACCUAAACAACGCGCUGAAAUUGUUCAACUGUACAUUCAAAAUAACUUCUCAAUUGUGUUAACUAAACGUGCGUGGAAAAAUAAAAAUAAAGUUAAAACAUCGCCUGGAGACAACACUAUACGUCGAUUAUAUGCCAAAUUUAUAUCGUCUAGUAGUGUUGGUAAUGCCAGUCAUCUGUCCAGACAACGACCAAGACGUUUCGACGAGAAUAUUGGAACAACAGUAACCGUGAAUGGGGAGCGUUAUCGGACAAUGAUAACCGAUUUUUAUUGCCAUUUGUUCGUGAAAAUGAAUUGGACAAUUUCUGGUUCCAACAGGACGGCGCUACAUGCCAUACAGCGGCUGCCACGACCAAAUUAUUGCGCGAAAUGUUCCCCGGAAGAUUAAUAUCGAAAAACGGUGAUUAUGACUGGCCACCGAGAUCACCUAAUUUGACGCCUCUUGACUUUUUUUUAUGGGGAUAUUUGAAAUCCAAGGUAUACACUGGUAAACCAAGGACCCUGGCUGCGCUGAAAGACAAUAUCCGACAAGAAAUUGUUGCCAUAUCGGCCGAAACAUUGGGCAAAGUGAUGGAAAAUGCCGAAAAAAGGGCACAUUUUGCGGUCAAGGCCAGAGGCGGUCAUUUACGAGAUAUCAUAAUCAAAAAGUAGUUAGAACAAAUCUCCUUGGACCAAAAUAAAUGAAUUUCAAAAAAAAAAUUUAAAUUCCACUUCUUUACUUUGUUAUUUAGUUUUACACGACCACGCUAUCCACAUGGCUAAUGAUGCUGUUCAGCAAAUGCGUGAUAAUAUUGCACCUGAUUAUAGAAUAAAUUUGGAAAGUGUUUUCUAAGGCGCCUCGCACACCGGAGCAAUAAGCAACUAGCAACUAUCAACAUGCAAUAAGCAAUAUUAUCGCCAAUGGAUUUUUCCAUUUAAUCUUUGUUGAUCUCGCAUACCGACGCAAUACGAUAUCGCUGUCGCCUUUACAGAGCAACACAUGUCGCUAGCAACACGGCGUGUCGGUUGAAGAGCAACUUAUCGCCCAUAUUUUGACAAGUUUCGUACAUUAAGCCGAUUGUUUGCAUAAUGUCGGGGGUUUUUAUUGCUCUGGUAUGCGAAGAACAACAAAAUAUGUUUCCUGUUGCAUAUUGCGUAUUGCAGUUUGCUAGUUGUUUAUUGCUCCGGUGUGCGA